rnacentral:misc_RNA from 1 species
CGCACAUUGCGCCCCUUGGUAUUCCAUGGGGCAUGCCUGUUCGAGCGUCAUUUGAGCCCUCAAGCUUUGCUUGGUGAUGGGUGUUUGUCCACUUUUCGCAUUUGGACUCGCCUUAAAAUUAUUGGCAGCCGGCAUCUAGGCCUUUGGAGCGCAGCACAUUUUGCGAUCUAAGCCUGUAUGCUGGUAAUCCAUGAAGCAAAUUUAUCACUUUGACCUCGGAUCAGGUAGGGAUACCCGCUGAACUUAA